GAUCCUGCCGGAGGCCAUUGCUAUUGGGAUCCGAUUUAGCCAUGCUAGUUGUACGAGUUCAGACUCGUAGCGAAUAGCUCAGUAACACGUGGCCAAACUACCCUUCGGAACACAAUACCCUCGGGAAACUGAGGCCAAUAGUGUAUACCGUACCACCACUGGAAUGAGUGGUACGCCAAACGCUCCGGCGCCGAAGGAUGUGGCUGCGGCCGAUUAGGUAGACGGUGGGGUAACGGCCCACCGUGUCAAUAAUCGGUAUGGGUCAUGAGAGUGAGAACCCAGAGACGGAAUCUGAGACAAGAUUCCGGGCCCUACGGGGCGCAGCAGGCGCGAAACCUUUACACUGCACGACAGUGCGAUAGGGGGAUCCCAAGUGCACAGGCAUAGCGCCUGUGCUUUUCGGUACCCUAAGGCGGUACCAGAAUUAUGGCUGGGCAAGACCGGUGCCAGCCGCCGCGGUAAUACCGGCAGCCCAAGUGAUGGCCGAUCUUAUUGGGCCUAAAGCGUCCGUAGCUGGCCGCGCAAGUCCAUCGGGAAAUCCACCUGCUCAACAGGUGGGCGCCCGGUAGAAACUGCGUGGCUUGGGACCGGAAGGCGCGACU
rnacentral:rRNA from 1 species